GCUUAAGUGAUGAUUCAGUUCUUUGUCGGAUACCCCUUCACUCUACAAUGAGUGAGAUUUACCGUCUGAUGUGC
ensembl:snoRNA